rnacentral:rRNA from 1 species
GAUGAACGCUGGCGGCGUGCCUAAUACAUGCAAGUCGAGCGAACAGACGAGGAGCUUGCUCCUCUGACGUUAGCGGCGGACGGGUGAGUAACACGUGGAUAACCUACCUAUAAGACUGGGAUAACUUCGGGAAACCGGAGCUAAUACCGGAUAAUAUAUUGAACCGCAUGGUUCAAUAGUGAAAGACGGUUUUGCUGUCACUUAUAGAUGGAUCCGCGCCUCAUUAGCUAGUUGGUAAGGUAACGGCUUACCAAGGCAACGAUGCGUAGCCGACCUGAGAGGGUGAUCGGCCACACGGGAACUGAGACACGGUCCAGACUCCUACGGGAGGCAGCAGUAGGGAAUCUUCCGAAAUGGGCGAAAGCUUGACGGAGCAACGCCGCGUGAGUGAUGAAGGUCUUCGGAUCGUAAAACUCUGUUAUUAGGGAAGAACAAAUGUGUAAGUAACUAUGCACGUCUUGACGGUACCUAAUCAGAAAGCCACGGCUAACUACGUG